CUCUCUCCCACACACGCGCGCGCACACAAAUAAUCCAGACUCCCUCUCCACUGAACUGAACACAACUGCUGAGUUUCAAACAUUCGGAUCCAGAACAAUCAUCUUCAAAUAUGAGAAGCAGACUGGGGCAUAGGCACCAAUUGAAGCAAUCAGUAGUUAAGGGCAUGUUUGGCAGGCUAUCAAUUGCCGUAAUUGUACUGGUGAUCUGUACUGUUUCGCUAUUGUCCACUAUAAAGACCACCAAACAACCCUUCUCUCGAUCUGAGAUCGAUGUGGAUACGCUUUGGGGUACAGCUGCUUCUGGUGGAUGGAGACCAUCAUCUGCUCCAAGAUCUGAUUGGCCCCCCCCUCCAACAGAAACCAAUGGCUAUUUACGAGUGCGAUGUAAUGGUGGCCUCAAUCAGCAAAGAAGUGCGAUCUGUAAUGCUGUUCUUGCUGCACGGAUCAUGAAUGCUACUCUUGUAUUGCCUGAACUGGAUGCGAAUUCCUUCUGGCAUGACGACAGUGGUUUUCACGGCGUCUAUGAUGUCAACCAUUUUAUCAAAUCACUGAAAUACGAUGUACGAAUAGUGGAAAGCAUCCCAGAUAUCCAGAAAAAUGGCAAGACCAAAAAGAUAAAACCUUUUCAGAUGCGACCCGAGAGAGAUGCUCCAAUCAGUUGGUACACAACAGAUGCUUUAAAGAAGAUGAAAGAGCACGGUGCUAUUUAUCUCACGCCUUUCUCGCAUCGCUUGGCUGAAGAGAUUGACAACCCUGAGUACCAGCGCCUAAGAUGUAGAGUGAACUAUCAUGCCUUAAGAUUUAAGCCUCACAUUAUGGAGCUGAGUAACUCAAUUGUGAAUAGACUCCGUGCACAAGGUCGCUUCAUGGCCAUACAUCUUCGUUUUGAGAUGGAUAUGCUGGCAUUUGCCGGGUGCUUUGACAUUUUUACUCCAGAAGAACAAAAAGUUCUGAAGAAAUAUCGAGAUGAAAAUUUCGCACCAAAGAAACUUGUUUAUAAUGAAAGAAGGGCAAUUGGAAAAUGCCCUCUAACUCCAGAAGAGGUUGGUCUUAUCUUGCGAGCAAUCGGUUUCGACAACUCAACCAGAAUAUACCUCGCGGCAGGCGACUUAUUCGGCGGUGAGCGGUUUAUGAAGCCUUUCCGAUCCUUAUUCCCUCACCUCGAGAAUCACAACACAGUGGACCCCACCUCUGAGCUGGCGAAGAGCACAAACGGCCUGGUGGGCUCCGCUGUAGACUACAUGGUUUGUCUCCUCUCAGACAUAUUCAUGCCAACAUACGAUGGGCCGAGCAAUUUCGCGAACAAUCUUCUUGGCCACCGCCUAUACUAUGGCUUCCGCACGAACUUACAGCCUGACAGAAAAGCCCUUGCCCCUAUCUUUAUUGAACGGGAGAAAGGGCGUACAGCUGGAUUCGAAGAAUCCGUCAGGAGUGUGAUGCAAAACACAAACUUUGGUGGACCCCACAAGAGGGUUUCGCCCGAGUCGUUUUAUACGAACUCAUGGCCUGAGUGCUUUUGUCAGGUAGAGGCUGCUAAUCAAGCUGAUAAAUGUCCACCGGACAAUGUUUUGGAUAUCUUGGACAGUCGGUUGAAAACCGAAGGAAUCGAUGAUUCGGAAUCUCUAACAUCAAAUUCAACGGAUUAAGUAGGACCUUUUUUCUUCUUCAUUUUUGUAUCGGUUACUUCAGAUGAAAAGGGUUCACAUUGGAGGGUGUCUAUAAUGAUUUGGCUAUGCAGUCAACCUUAUUUCAUUUGCUGGUUAGCUUGGGAAUGGACCAAAUUGACCCUGGCAAUAAAUUGCUGUGCCCGAAAGUAGUGAAGGAUCUGAGUGGCACUUUUGGAAGUUUGCUAUAUGUAAAUCUUGUACUGGUACUGUGUAAAAUGUAAAUGACCAAUUAUGAAGUUAGUUAACACUGACCAAACUAUGGAUUUAUGGCCCGUGAGCUAAGGUCAAAUUACGAAAAAAUCCCUCAUGUUUGGGUAAUUA